rnacentral:sRNA from 1 species
GCUUCGUGGAUCUGGCCGGGGCACAGGAAGUGCACGUGGGUGUCGACCCCGCCGGCGGUCAGGAUCCGCCCGUUGCCGGAGAUCACCUCCGUCUCGGGCCCGACGACGAAGUGCGAGGCGCGCGCGUCGUCGUGCGGCCGGGACGACAUCGUCUCGGGGUUGUACGCUGUGCCGAUCGCCCGGAUCCGGCCGUCGCGCAGACCGACGUCGGCCUUCACCACACCCCAGUGGUCCAGGAUCAGCGCACCGGUGAUCACGGUGUCCACCGGCUCCCGCCGGUCGUCGCGCGGGAUGUGCGACUGCCCCAUCGACUCGCGGAU